AGGGUGAGGCUCAUCCCCUGCACUUUGGGUGUGCUAAUCACUGCGAUUUCCACAAAUGAGGGAAACUCGAUUGCAUAAUUUCUGGUAGUGCAGGCAUGAGUUCACACUCUCUGCC
rnacentral:snRNA from 13 species